rnacentral:rRNA from 1 species
GAUCAUGGCUCAGGAUGAACGCUAGCUACAGGCUUAACACAUGCAAGUCGAGGGGAAACGACAUCGAAAGCUUGCUUUUGAUGGGCGUCGACCGGCGCACGGGUGAGUAACGCGUAUCCAACCUGCCCACCACUUGGGGAUAACCUUGCGAAAGUAAGACUAAUACCCAAUGAUAUCCCACGAAGGCAUCCGAAUGGGAUUAAAGAUUUAUCGGUGAAGGAUGGGGAUGCGUCUGAUUAGCUUGUUGGUGAGGUAACGGCUCACCAAGGCGACGAUCAGUAGGGGUUCUGAGAGGAAGGUCCCCCACAUUGGAACUGAGACACGGUCCAAACUCCUACGGGAGGCAGCAGUGAGGAAUAUUGGUCAAUGGGCGAGAGCCUGAACCAGCCAAGUAGCGUGCAGGACGACGGCCCUAUGGGUUGUAAACCGCUUUUUCAGGGGGAUAAAGUGAGUGACGUGUCAUUCAUUGCAGGUACCCUGCGAAUAAGGACCGGCUAAUUCCGUG